rnacentral:rRNA from 1 species
GAUGAACGCUGGCGGCGUGCCUAAAACAUGCAAGUCGUGCGGCAGCGGGCCUUCGGGUGCCGGCGAGCGGCGGACGGGUGAGUAACGCGUAGGAACGUACCCCAAAGUGAGGGAUAAGCUCCGGAAACGGAGUCUAAUACCGCAUAUGCUCUUAGGAGUAAAGGAGUAAUCCGCUUUGGGAGCGGCCUGCGUCCGAUUAGUUUGUUGGUGAGGUAAUGGCUUACCAAGACGAUGAUCGGUAGCUGGUUUGAGAGGAUGAUCAGCCACACUGGGACUGAGACACGGCCCAGACUCCUACGGGAGGCAGCAGUUAGGAAUUUUCCACAAUGGGGGCAACCCUGAUGGAGCAACGCCGCGUGCAGGAAGACGGCCUUCGGGUUGUAAACUGCUUUUAAAAGUGAAGAUUAUGACGGUAACUUUAGAAUAAGGAUCGGCUAACUCCGUGCCAGCCGCCGCGAAUA